GACCCAUUAACAGGCAGCCACACACAGAACCUGGAGAGAGCAUGGGCCAUAUACAAGGGGAUGGUAUGGCGACUGCGAGGGAACAGGACAGAGGCCCUGCUAAAAGAGCAUCUCUUAGUAAUUGAGUGGACCUACUGGCUAGCUAACCACCACAAAGAUGGUCCUUUGGGAGAAUAAUUAAGGAUAUAAGGCACAGGCUCAGCGACACAGCUGAGGCACAUCACCUCAACCAGCAGCUUGCUGGGUGUGGUGCACAGCGGAGGCUCUUUCCCGCUGAUUAAGCAGCGCCUAUUUAACACACUGGCAGACGCUCCAUCCUCGCCAGAUCAUUGACACUGGCAUGCCUCCAUUACUCAACCC